rfam:Trichobilharzia regenti genome assembly, scaffold: TRE_scaffold0008291
GUACUGAUGAAGAGUCCCAAACUAGUGCGGACGAAACAGCUGUCCAGUAC